GCCUUCGUGGUGUAGUGGCUAGCACAUUCAACACGUAACCCAGAGGUCCGUGGUUCGAUUCCCGGCGAAGGUG
rnacentral:tRNA from 1 species